rnacentral:miRNA from 1 species
ACCUCGAGUUCUGGCGCUUUCGACC